rnacentral:misc_RNA from 1 species
GAUGAAGAACGUAGCGAAAUGCGAUAAGUAAUGUGAAUUGUAGAAUUCAGUGAAUCAUCGAAUCUUUGAACGCACAUUGCGCCCUCUGGUAUUCCGGGGGGCAUGCCUGUUCGAGCGUCAUUAUAACCACUCAAGCUCUCGCUUGGUAUUGGGGUUCGCGGUUUCGCGGCCCCUAAAAUCAGUGGCGGUGCCUGUCGGCUCUACGCGUAGUAAUACUUCUCGCGAUUGAGUUCGAUAGGUCUACUUGCCAGUAACCCCCAAUUUUUACAGGUUGACCUCGGAUCAGGUAGGGAUACCCGCUGAACUUAAGCAUAUCAAUAAGCGAAUGA